AUAGAAAAGAAAUUGAAGAGACGAUGGAGAUUGUGUGUGAAGUAAGUCUGUCCUACAUCGGCUCUCUGCUACCCUUUUAAUUCAAGAUCACCGAAGAUGCUUUCAGACAACCGAACAAGCUGUAGUUGUUCAUCAACCAAGCAAAAGUCAUACCCAAAUCUUGCGUUGUGACUUUGUAUUAUUUGUGGAACCUAAUGCUGUGUAAUAGUUUGAUUGAGUUUGUUUUGAAAACUUUCAAUAGUAAACAAGUGAGAUUGAUUGUUUGA